rnacentral:tRNA from 1 species
AGUUGCCCGAGAGGCCUAAGGGGUUGGAUUUAAGCUCCAAUGAUUUAAAUAUCGCGUGGGUUCAAGCCCCACACUG